UGAUGCUCUAUUCAACCUGAUUUUGAUGAGUUUGGCUUCUUGUGUCACCUGCCUCGCCAUGAAGGAUGCUAUUCAGCUGUAGAAGUAAUUUGGUGACAUGGAGCGUUAUGGACCAGUUACUGAGAUGAUGCCAUUCACCCAAGGAGUUGGUGCCUUUGAUGAGACUAUGAUGUGUGGGAUGUAGGCAUUCUGCUGUGAUCCUUGAAGGAGUUUGAUACAAGAUGCAUAAAGGAGCUGGGAUGAUUUCAUUUUUCUAAGGAGGUGGUGUGCUCUGGGACCCUGAUGUUGAUGAGUCUUCAUUCUUGUGGCACAUGAUAAAUGUACUUUGAUCUAUAAAGAGAUUCCAAGUUGCAAGAUCAUCUCCCAGAAGAUGAACAGAGUGCCGUCUUGAUCUUCUCAGUUGCUUACCGCUGCUCAAGGACAAACCUGGACCCAAU